GAUGAACGCUAGCGAUAGGCCUAACACAUGCAAGUCGAGGGGCAUCACAUGAAGUAGCAAUACGGAUGGUGGCGACCGGCGCACGGGUGAGUAACACGUAUGCAACCUGCCUUCAACAAGGGGAUAACCCGUUGAAAGACGGACUAAUACCCUAUAACACAGGGGUCCCGCAUGGGAAUAUUUGUUAAAGGACAACCGGUUGAAGAUGGGCAUGCGUUCCAUUAGCUAGUUGGCGGGGUAACGGCCCACCAAGGCAACGAUGGAUAGGGGAACUGAGAGGUUUAUCCCCCACACUGGUACUGAGACACGGACCAGACUCCUACGGGAGGCAGCAGUGAGGAAUAUUGGACAAUGGGUGAGAGCCUGAUCCAGCCAUCCCGCGUGCAGGAAGAAUGUCCUAUGGAUUGUAAACUGCUUUUGCAGGGGAAUAAAGUGAGCCACGUGUGGUUUUUUGAUGUACUCUGCGAAUAAGGAUCGGCUAACUCCGUGCCAG
rnacentral:rRNA from 1 species